ACGAAAAAUAACGAUACGGGACUCAUCCGAGGCCCCGUAAUCGGAAUGAGUACACUCUAAACCCUUUAACGAGGAUCAAUUGGAGGGCAAGUCUGGUGCCAGCAGCCGCGGUAAUUCCAGCUCCAAUAGCGUAUAUUAAAGUUGUUGCGGUUAAAAAGCUCGUAGUCGAAUUUGUGUCUCGCGCCGCCGGUUCAUCGCUCGCGGUGUCAACUGGCGUGUCCGCGGGACGUCCUGCCGGUGGGCUUAGCCUCUUGGGCGGCCCAAUCCCAAUCCCACCGCGGUGCUCUUUACUGAGUGUCGAGGUGGGCCGGCACGUUUACUUUGAACAAAUUAGAGUGCUUAAAGCAGGCUAAAACAUCGCCUGAAUACUGUGUGCAUGGAAUAAUGGAAUAGGACCUCGGUUCUAUUUUGUUGGUUUUCGGAACCCCGAGGUAAUGAUUAAUAGGAACGGAUGGGGGCAUUCGUAUUGCGACGUUAGAGGUGAAAUUCUUGGAUCGUCGCAAGACGGACAGAAGCGAAAGCAUUUGCCAAAAACGCUUUCAUUGAUCAAGAACGAAAGUUAGAGGUUCGAAGGCGAUCAGAUACCGCCCUAGUUCUAACCAUAAACGAUGCCAGCUAGCGAUCCGCCGACGUUCCUCCGAUGACUCGGCGGGCAGCUUCCGGGAAACCAAAGCUUCUGGGUUCCGGGGGAAGUAUGGUUGCAAAGCUGAAACUUAAAGGAAUUGACGGAAGGGCACCACCAGGAGUGGAGCCUGCGGCUUAAUUUGACUCAACACGGGAAACCUCACCAGGCCCGGACACCGGAAGGAUUGACAGAUUGAGAGC
rnacentral:rRNA from 1 species